rnacentral:rRNA from 1 species
GAUGAACUCAUAUAUGUUUAUUGUUUGAAAUUUGUAAGGAUGGUUUGGCUUCUCGACGAUGUCUACGACACGAAACACCGGGCCUACAUGAUGCGCGAGAAGGAGAUGAAGCUUGAACCUUUGAAGAUUCGGUAUCACGGGGUCUCUGGUCCUGCCAUGCCUUACGAUGAGCGGUACACACCGUACAUCAAGCAGGCAGGACUACUCCCGUGGAUUCAGUUGGUCAGCCGGUCCACGCCGAAUCUGAACACUCCACUGGUGUCCGCUCUUGCUGAUCGGUGGAGGCCGGAGACGCAUAGUUUCCAUCUUCGGACUGGGGAUAUUACCGUGACGCUCGAGGAUGUCUCGUUGAUCACCGGUCUUGCUAUCGACGGGAUGCCUCUCUGUAUGAGCACCGAUUCUGAUGGCUGGCGCGAGCAGAUGAUUGCUCUUAUCAGUAUGGCUCCUACUGAGGCUGAGGCUGAUGUAGAGGAGGGAGAAGAGAAGAAGAAGAGGGAAAGGAAAGCAGACGGAGCUGCUUUCACGUGGAUUCAAACUCACUUUGCGACGUGCCCUCCGGAUGCCACUGAUGAUGUGAUCCAGACACAUGCUCGUGUCUACAUGUGGUAUGUUGUGUCGAGGACUUUGUUUCCUGACUCCACUGGCAAGAACGCUCCAUGGAUGUGGCUGAAGGCGUUGACCGUCUUC